AGGCACCGGCUCAAUAUCCUCCUCACUAAAAUCAUAUGUACGUACAUAGAUUUUUUUACAAUCUUGGUCGGACUAACAAUAAAUUUCUAAUUUGUAUAUUUUUAACUUUUCGGUAAUGAAAGUAAAUUUGUUUUGUGACAAACUCUCGGUUGGGGGAAAUUCACGUUCGACGGAUUCAGAGACUGAAGAUGAAGAAUGGGAAGAGCGUUCGGGUACAACUAAUGGAAACCCAUUCUGUGAUACAUUUGCGUCAAUGUGGAUUGGUUAUUCUACAGGUUCCUACUUGAGCAGUCUGCUGGCCAACACGCUCAAGAGCAACCAAGUAGAGAUUAACACAGACAGCAAAAGUCUGAAAUCGAUUGCGAGACUGAAAGAGCCCAGAGACUUGUUCACGUUGCCUAAAGAGCCGGAAUGUGCCCAAGAAGCCGCGAGGUGGCCUUCGGAGUGCCAGGUCGUCGACAUGAAGAUACACCACAUCGAGGUGAUGCCCAACAUACCCGAAGUCUACUACACAAGCAGUGGCAAAGAGAUUGUGGUUAAAGUCAUCGGGGAAGACGCCGGACAGAUCGUCUAUCAAUACAACCCGAUGAGCGCUGUCAAUUACUUUACGAGGUCUAUUAGUGGGGGCAACAGAAUCCCGCCGAGCUGCCCCGUAAACGGCGAUCUGAAAUUUGAAUCCAGGUUUGAGUCUGGAAAUUUGGCGAAGGCUGUGAAAAUUACAGAAACUUACUACGAGCUCUCGAUUAGGGCCGACUUGUACACCAAUAAGCACAUGCAAUGGUUCUACUUUAUGGUAGAAAACACAAAAAAAGGAGUUCUUUACAGGUUCAGCAUCGUCAAUUUAUUGAAAGGUGACAGCCUCUACAAUGAAGGCAUGCGGCCUGUCUUAUAUUCUUGUAAGGAUGCCGUGAUCAGGAAGAUUGGCUGGAGACGUUGUGGCACGAAUAUAAACUACUACCAGAAUGAUCUGAAUUCUAUUUUCAGUGGAGAAGACGAACAAAAUUCCACUUACACAUUGACUUUCAACUUGGAGUUUCCUUACGACGAUGACUGCGUUUUUGUAGCUCACAAUUACCCGUACACUUACACUGAUCUCCAGGAAUACCUGAUCAAGCUGCAGAAUCACCCGGUAAAGUCAGCGUAUACCAAGUUGAGGCUCCUGUGCAAAUCGCUUGCAGGCAAUAAUGUUUAUUAUUUGACUGUCACUGACCCUACUGAAGAUGAUAGCAACACAAAGCCUAAAAAGAAAGCAGUGGUUAUGACAGCAAGAGUGCAUCCAGGUGAAUCACCUGCUUCAUGGAUGAUGAAAGGCGUCAUGGACUUCAUAACAGGCGACUCUGCACAAGCAAAGGAAUUGAGGGAGAAAUUCAUAUUCAAGCUCAUACCAAUGUUGAAUCCAGAUGGAGUCAUCGUCGGCAACAACCGGUGUUCACUCUCUGGCAGAGACUUAAACCGACAAUACAGGACUGUGAUCAGGGAAACUUACCCUCCUGUUUGGCACACAAAACUAAUGAUCAAAAGACUAAUUGAAGAGUGUGGUGUGGCCAUGUACUGUGAUCUUCAUGCACAUUCUCGUAAACAUAAUGUAUUCAUUUAUGGCUGUGAAAAUAAAAGGAUAGCUGAGAAACGACUCCAAGAGCAAGUGUUCCCUUUGAUGCUGCAUAAAAAUACUGCAGAUAAAUUUUCUUUUGAAAACUGCAAAUUCCGAAUUAACAAAGAUAAAGAAGGAACAGGACGUGUUGUAAUUUGGAUGAUGGGUGUCGAUAAUAGUUACACUCUCGAAGCAUCAUUUGCAGGUUCCACACUCGGUUCCCGGCAUCAUACUCAUUUUUCAACUAUUGAUUAUGAGAUGAUGGGGAAAUCGUUCUGUGAGACGUUGCUAGACUAUGUUGACGAAACACCAGGAAAGGCUGAUUUUAUAGCUGAGAUUGAGAUCCAAAAUUGUACUCAAGCUCCAAAAAGAAGGGUCAAGCGCAGACGAGCCCGCAAACAUUGAGCUUUCGGAUUACUCAAGCGAUGAAGGCGAGUUGAGUGAUUUGAGCGAAGACGAAAAACGGAAAAGGGAAGAAUACAUCCUGACUGCUCCACCGCCUUCACCAGUUAUACCAAACGAAAAAAAAAAUAGUCAGAAGCCUUCACAGUGGACCUAAAACAGGCAAAAAAAUUAGAUUCUGCAUUGAAAAGGAAUAUUACUUUUGGGCACUUUGUGAAAGCAUUU
rnacentral:misc_RNA from 1 species